rnacentral:lncRNA from 1 species
GAGGACGAGCACAUCCAGGGGCGUCAAGGGGGUUACGACCCGGCGACAUACCAGUGAGUGGGCAUUGCUUUCUAUAUAUAUACCUAUAUACUCGAUUUCCCCAGAAAUCAAAUUUAAAUGAAAAGUAUAUUGAAAUGAAAUGAAAUAUGAUGUGAUUGCCAUGCAUAGAAUAUUAUGGAUAUUAUGAACUGUCGUAUGAUGCAUAUAUGUAUGAUGGUGCUGUGGAAGCACAGGUAAGUAUUUAAUUAAUAUUAUGAUGAUGAUGAUGAUAUAUUGAGCUCAUAUCCUGCACCAUGGUUUAGUGCUUAUAGUAUUCACCGCAUCGCACGCUCGCCUUGGAUCCAAGUAGAUGCUGGUCGUACAGUCCACGCGGAGUGGGUACGACGGGCCAGUCGUAGAGUGUUAGUGAGAUUAUGACUGGUGGGUGACCUUAGGUUAUUGUAUACAGAUGAUUGAUGAGAGAAGCACUAGAGCGAAUAUUACCAUGAGUCGUUCAAACUACAUUAGGUGGUUCCGACUUAUGUGCAGAAGGCCGGACAGGUCACGCGGAGUGACUCCGGCAGAGAGUGAGAUUGAUAGAUGUUGAGCUCUAGGUUCAAUCGUUCAGGGCUAUUAGAGGGCCUCCGAUUGAUUUCUAUCUUUUACCUGAUUAUAUUAUGUUAAUGCAUUCAUACUAAACUGUUGAGAUUGGCAUGGUACAUUCUUUAUUGAAUCUGUUAUAAGAUUGAUGAUUGAGACAGUUGAGAUAUAUAUGCUAUAUACUAUUUUUCUGGGAAAGUAUACAGGUUUUCCAAAAAGGGGUUAUAAUUGUGGAUUUGUGAAAUGAUUUGGAAAAGCUUUAUUUUCGCCCACUCACGUUUUCUGUUUUUCGCCCCUCCAGGUUCUAGUUAAUAGUUGAGGCGUUGGUGGCCUACGAGACUGCUUCGGCGUUCUGACAGACUAAAUAAAUGUAGGAUUCACCCGAGGGUGUUGUAAAAUAGUUAUGUUCCUACUUGACUGCACCUAGAUGCUUAUGCUCUGUUUAUGUGUGUUUAGUACACUCUUAUGCACAUAGAAUGCUAGGUUGUAAAUAACUGCAAUUAGUGGUUUUCGUUAAUUCGUAUUUUAUUAUUAAAUCGUUUCCGCUUGCGUUAUGGUUACGUCACACUCACGUGACGGCCAGCACGUCCUAGUCUUCGGGUUAGGGUGUGUCAGUUUGGUAUCAGAGCAUAGGUUGCAGUCCUGUAUAACUAAUGAGUUCUUCUAUUGAUUUUUGGAUGUUUUCUGUCAGAAUUAUGCCGCCUCGUAGAGAUCCUCGCCGUGCUGCUGAGCCUAAUUUCCCCGAUAUAACUCAGUUAGGGGCAGCAAUGGCUCAAGCUUUUCAGGCUAAUAUCCGUCCUCCUCAGAGAACGCCCGUAGAGACGAUGUAUAAUCUGAAACUGGAAACCUUUGAGGGAAAUGAAGGUUAUGAAGGGGCAGAAAAGUGGUUGGAUCGAAUUGAGCAGACCUUUCAAGUGAUGCAAAGUCAGGGAAACCUGCCAGCUAAUAGAUGGGUGGAGACCACCACCUGGUUUUUGGGCCGUGAGCCAGCUGCGUGGUGGAUAAAUCAGUCGAGGCACAUGACUCCUGAAAGGGCAGCCGAAUGGGAGGUAUUUAAGGAAAAUUUUAUGAAGAGAUUUGUUCCUCCGGAAUAUAUAGAUCGCAAGAAACAGGAAUUCACCAGUCUGAAGCAGAGAAAUAUGUCUGCACAUGAGUACUACAGGAAGUUUACUGAUUUAUCCCGUUAUGAUUCUGAUUUAGCGGGUAAUCAAGCAGAAAUGCUUCGUCGUUUCAAGCUAGGAUCUAAGAAGAAGUACAGAACGUUUGCCAAUGCACUUCCCUGUGCCGAUUAUCAUGAGUAUUUUGAGAUUCUGGUCAGGAUGGAAGACUCUGAUAAUCUUCCGGACAGUGAGGAUGAAGAGGAUAAGGGUAAUGGUCAGAAGAAAAAUGAGAAAGGUAAAGGUGUUUCCAUUCCAGGACCUCGUCAGACGCAGAAUUUCAAGAAAAGUGGAAUGAGUUCGAGUUCUUCCAGUGGUGGAUUUAGUGCCACAGGUCCGAGGAGAGGAGGUGGUAGGUUUGGUAAUGGACCUAGAUUUUCUGGUCAGAGAGGCUUUGGUAAUACUGGUAGUUCGGGUCCUCCGUUAUGUCGCCGUUGUAAUUUCCGACAUCAUGGGGAAUGUAGGAGAAGCAGUGGUGCAUGCUUUACAUGUGGUCAGACAGGACAUAGAGCUAUGUAUUGUCCCCAGAAUCAGCAGAGGCCCCAGCAGCCUGUUAUGCCAACAUCAGCACCGACUCAACAGAACUUUAAUUCAGGCAGUUAUGGCCAGGGUGGUCGUGGUGGUGCUUAUCACUAUCAGGGUGAUGCUGCUCCUUAUGCUCCGGGACAGUAUCACUAUUCCCAGGAUCCUUAUUUUCAGAGUGGAUAUUCUCAGGAUCAGGGAGGUUAUACUUCAUAUCCGUCUAUGCCAGCUAGCGGAUCUCAGUGGUAUCAGGGGGGUCAGCCCCAACAGAGCGGAGUUGCUGCUAGUAGUACAGGGUCGUUUAGGCCGCCUGCCCAGGCAGGUCAAGGACGUACUCAUCAGGGACGAGGUAACCAGAGUGGCAGAGGUCGUGGAGGACGACAGCCAGCUCAGGGACGCGUUAACCACAUAUCGCUGCAAGAUGCUCAGAACCAUCCAGACUUGAUUAUGGGUACGUUGAAUGUUCUUGGUCAUUUUGCUAGAGUCUUGAUUGAUUGUGGUGCUACACACUCUGUGAUUUCUCAUACAUUUGCUCAAAUAACGCAACCUCAUCCUUCACCUCUAGGGUUUGAUUUAGAGUUUGCUAUGCCUAGAGGGGAUAAAUGUUAUGUUGAUAGUUUUUACUCUGGGUGUCCAGUGAUGGUAGAUAAUGUCAUUAUGCCUGCUAAUCUUAUCCCGUUAGACAUCGUGGAUUUUGAGGUGAUUUUAGGGGCGGAUUGGUUGCAUUAUAAUCGCGCCCAUAUAGAUUGUUACGGGAAAUCAGUUACUUUUCUUCGUCCUGGACUACCCGAGGUUACAUUUGUGGGUGAAAGAAGUGGGGUGAGGCAUGGUGUUAUUUCCGCCAUAAGGACAAAGAAAUUGUUAUCCAAGGGUUGUCAGGGAUACUUGGCACAUGUGGUUUUGAAUGAUGUUGAUUCCGGUAGUGUGGAGGAAGUCGGAGUAGUCAGACACUAUCCUGAUGUAUUUCCAGAUGAUUUACCUGGGUUGCCUCCAGAUAGAGAUGUGGAAUUUUCGAUUGAAUUGCUUCCAGGUACGAAUCCUAUCUCUUUGACUCCUUAUAGAAUGGCACCAGCGGAAUUAAGAGAGUUGAAAAUUCAAUUGCAAGAGUUAAUUGAUAAAGGUUUCAUUCAGCCUAGUUCUUCACCUUGGGGAGCUCCAGUGUUGUUUGUAAGAAAGAAAGAUGGAACUUUGAGAUUGUGCAUUGAUUACAGGCAAUUGAAUCGGGUGACGAUUAAAAACCGUUAUCCCUUGCCUCGUAUAGAUGAUUUGUUUGAUCAGCUCAAAGGUGCCUGUGUGUUUUCUAAGAUCGAUUUGAGGUCUGGGUAUUAUCAAUUAAAGAUUAAAGAUGAGGAUGUUCAUAAAACAGCUUUCAGGACUCGUUAUGGGCAUUAUGAGUUUUUUGGUGAUGCCAUUUGGAUUAACGAACGCUCCUGCAGCUUUCAUGAGAUUGAUGAAUGAAGUAUUCCAGGAAUAUCUUGACAAGUUUGUUAUUGUUUUUAUUGAUGACAUCCUGGUAUAUUCUAAGUCGAAAUCAGACCAUAUUCGACAUCUUAACUUGGUGUUAAGGAAAUUGAGGGAACACCGGUUAUAUGCCAAAUUUAGUAAAUGUCAAUUUUGGCUGGAUCAAGUGGCAUUUUUGGGACAUGUGGUAUCAGCUCAGGGAAUUCAAGUGGAUCCUCAAAAGAUAGCAGCAGUGGAAAAUUGGGAACAACCUCGAACGGUCACUGAGGUGCGGAGUUUCCUUGGUUUGGCAGGUUAUUAUAGACGGUUUGUUCAAGACUUUUCUAUGAUUGCCUUGCCAUUAACGAAGUUAACCAGGAAGGAUGUUAAGUUUGAGUGGGAUGAAAGUUGUGAGCAAAGUUUCCAGCAGUUGAAGUAUUGCCUUACUCAUGCACCUGUGUUAGUACUUCCUGAUGGUAAUGGUAACUUCGAGAUCUAUAGUGAUGCUUCUUUGAAUGGUUUGGGUUGUGUUUUGAUGCAGCAUAGUAGAGUGAUUGCCUAUGCUUCUAGGCAGUUGAAGACUCAUGAAAGAAACUAUCCGACUCACGAUCUUGAGUUGGCAGCUAUUGUGUUUGCUUUGAAGAUUUGGAGACACUAUCUCUAUGGCGAGAAAUGUAAGAUCUUUACCGAUCAUAAAAGCCUUCAGUACCUUUUCACUCAGCAUGAUCUUAAUCUUCGUCAGAGAAGAUGGUUGGAAUUGUUAAGUGAUUAUGAUUGCACGAUUGAGUACCAUCCGGGUCGUGCAAAUGUGGUAGCUGAUGCUCUGAGUAGAAAACCUCAAGGGCGACUUAAUGCUUUGUAUGCCAGUCGUGUUCCUCUUCUGGCAGAGUUGAGAUCUACUGGAGUAGAGUUAGAAUUGGAAGAGCAAAGUGAAGCUUUUCUUGCCAGUUUUCAAGUCAAGCCAGUUUUAAUUGAUCGGGUGCUUGCAGCUCAAUCGUGGGAUGAAGAAAUUCAAGAAUUGAUCAAGUUAAGAAAUGAAGGGAAGAAGAAAGAUCUCAAGAUCCGAGGAUCAGAUGGUAUGCUUAUGCAAGAGAACAGGAUGUAUGUGCCUAAUAAUGAGGAACUGAAGAAGGAAAUCUUGGAUGAAGCACAUUGUUCGGCUUAUGCUAUGCACCCAGGAGGAACUAAAAUGUAUCAUACCAUUCGACCAUUCUACUAUUGGCCGGGUAUGAAGAGGGAGAUUGCAGAGUAUGUGAGUAGGUGUAUUGUCUGCCAGCAGGUUAAGGCUGAAAGAAAGAAGCCGUUUGGGAGAUUGCAACCACUUCCCGUUCCCCAGUGGAAAUGGGAGAAUAUAACGAUGGAUUUUGUGUAUAAGCUGCCACGUACACAAAAUGGUUUUGAUGGCAUUUGGGUGGUUGUAGAUCGACUUACCAAAUCAGCACAUUUUAUUCCAGUAAGGGAGAAGUAUUCUUUAAAUAAGUUGGCUCAGUUAUUCAUAUCGAAGGUUGUAAAGUAUCAUGGUGUCCCAGUGAAUAUUAUUUCUGAUCGAGAUCCAAGAUUUACUUCUAAGUUUUGGAUAGCUUUUCAAGAAGCUUUGGGUACUAGAUUGCUUUACAGUACAGCUUAUCAUCCACAGACAGAUGGUCAGUCAGAGAGAACUAUUCAGACACUCGAGGAUAUGUUGAGAUCCUCUGUGAUGCAAUUUGGUGAUUCUUGGCAUGAUCGCUUGGAUUUGAUGGAGUUUGCCUACAAUAAUAGUUUUCAUUCGAGUAUUGGAAUGUCUCCAUUUGAAGCACUUUAUGGUAAAGCUUGCCGUACGCCAUUAUGUUGGUCAGAGGUUGGUGAAAGAAUACUUGAGGGCCCAGAGAUUGUGGAUGAGACUACUCAGAAUAUUCAGGUAAUUAAAUCUAACCUGAAAGUGGCCCAGGAUAGACAAAAGAGCCUAGCGGAUCGACAUACCACGGACAGAAUGUAUAAAGUGGGUGACUAUGUUUUCUGAAAUUAUCGCCUUGGAGAGGUGUGGUUCGCUUUGGAAAGAAAGGAAAGCUAAGUCCCAGGUACAUUGGACCUUAUGAGAUCACUGAGAGGAUUGGUGAAGUUGCUUACAGGUUGGAGCUACCUCCAGAGUUGUCUAAGGUACAUAAUGUGUUCCAUGUCUCGAUGCUUCGGCAUUAUGUGUCAGAUCCUUCACAUGUGAUUCCUCCUCAACCAUUGGAAAUUAAUCCGGAUUUGACGUACGAUGAGGAACCAGUGACUAUACUGGAUUGGAAAGAUAAGACCUUGAGGAAUAAGACCGUGAGCUUGGUGAAAGUAUUGUGGAGAAACCAUUCAGCUGAAGAAGCUACUUGGGAGACAGAAGAUCGGAUGAGAGAUAUGUAUCCGAGGUUAUUCUAUGACUUUUGAUGUUCUGGUUAGUGAUUGGAAUUUCGGGGACGAAAUUCUAUAAGGAGGGGAGAUUGUCACAGCCCGUCCCAGAAUUUCAAUUACCGAGGACGUGAAAUUACUAAAACGCCCUUAAACGGGAUUAAGGUGCGUAAAUUUGGUAUUUGUUUUACACUAAGAUCUUAAACUAGGGUUUAGAUUUACAUUUGUUUGGUCUAAUAAUUUUGUAUUGGACUUAGGUGGGAUCCCCACCUCCUGAAAUCCUUCCCCAAAACCCGUAGGUUGUCUCUCCCUCUUUCUUCCUCGUCUCUCCCUCAGUCUCUCUCACACUCCCUCAGAAACACUCUCUCUCUCUUACUCUCGAACUCUCUCAAGCUCUCGGACAAACACCAAGAACAAUCACAAUCCUACACCAACGUCCGAUCUAAGAUCACCACGACACUCCUUAGGACCUCACGAGCACGGGAAUACCAGUUUUAGGUAAGUUCUAUUUCGAGAACCCUAGUUUUAAAACACCCCGUGUAAUGGCACUGUUCACGAACUUAAUUUUGGUUGUGUUUUAGGUUAAACAAAGAUCACCACGAGUCUUAGGAAGUUCCAAGGAGGCUCGGAGUGCCUCGUUUGAUCAAAAUGGACGUCGGGAUCGUCGGGUUCGAGUUUGGCCGAAAUUGAAGAAUUUUGAAAGGUUUGAUCUUGUUGUUUUUAGGCCUUAAAACCCUUCCAACGUGAUAGUACAUGUUAAAUGCUUCAUUUUGGUAUAAAAUGCGAAGAAAUUGGUUGAAAAACGAAGGAGAAUAGUGGAUUUGAAAAUUUUCCAGAAACCGGCGAACAGUCGCCGGCGACCGGUGACUCGCCGGAGAAGACAGGGAAUCUUCCGUCAAGUUUGACGGAUAUUCCGACGCCGUUAGUUAACUUUAACGGAAACCGUUAGUUUUUAACGGAAUAUACUAGGAUUUGACGGAAUAUUCUCUAACGCCGUUCACUGUAGCCGUCAGUGUGCAUGUCACGUGGCCGCGCGUGGGCCGCGCGUAGGUCCGUGCCACGUCAGGCGCGUGGGGGCGCGUGAGGACUCCAAAAAUUAUUUUAAAAUUAUGGGGAUGAUCCUGAGGUUGUGUAGGUCACUGUGGUAUAUUCAUAUACCCAAUUUGAGCAUCGUAUGAAGAAUUAAUUACCUAGUUUGGUUUAGGUGCGUUAAUUGUGCGUUAAAUGAUUGUUUUAAGUUAUUUCACUUCUAGGUGGAACAUUUAACGAGGACGAGCACAUCCAGGGGCGUCAAGGGGGUUACGACCCGGCGACAUACCAGUGAGUGGGCAUUGCUUUCUAUAUAUAUACCUAUAUACUCGAUUUCCCCAGAAAUCAAAUUUAAAUGAAAAGUAUAUUGAAAUGAAAUGAAAUAUGAUGUGAUUGCCAUGCAUAGAAUAUUAUGGAUAUUAUGAACUGUCGUAUGAUGCAUAUAUGUAUGAUGGUGCUGUGGAAGCACAGGUAAGUAUUUAAUUAAUAUUAUGAUGAUGAUGAUGAUAUAUUGAGCUCAUAUCCUGCACCAUGGUUUAGUGCUUAUAGUAUUCACCGCAUCGCACGCUCGCCUUGGAUCCAAGUAGAUGCUGGUCGUACAGUCCACGCGGAGUGGGUACGACGGGCCAGUCGUAGAGUGUUAGUGAGAUUAUGACUGGUGGGUGACCUUAGGUUAUUGUAUACAGAUGAUUGAUGAGAGAAGCACUAGAGCGAAUAUUACCAUGAGUCGUUCAAACUACAUUAGGUGGUUCCGACUUAUGUGCAGAAGGCCGGACAGGUCACGCGGAGUGACUCCGGCAGAGAGUGAGAUUGAUAGAUGUUGAGCUCUAGGUUCAAUCGUUCAGGGCUAUUAGAGGGCCUCCGAUUGAUUUCUAUCUUUUACCUGAUUAUAUUAU